rnacentral:lncRNA from 1 species
AUGUGGGAGGAGGAAGAGUCUGAACUCGGGUCAGUGCGGAGGCGACUCCGACCGGCCCCGGAGAAGGUUAUGGGAAGCGAUGCGCGCUGUGGCCGCAGCCCCGCGCUGCGGCGGCUCCCGGUGUGCGGGGCGGGAGGAGGGGAAGCAGCAGGAGCUGGGAUGGAUGUGUGCCGGCACCGCGGGCCCGGCGGCCGCUGGGGGGCGGCACGGCCCCGCCAGCCGGGGCGGCGGGAGGGGCNGGGGCGGCACGGCCCCGCCAGCCGGGGCGGCGGGAGGGGCCGGGAACGGGGCCGGGAACGGGGCCGGGAAGGCGGCCAGGAGCCUGCCCGGCCGAGUCCAGCCGCGCUCGCCGAGCGGGGGACGGGCCCCAGGGGACUGCCGGCACACGGGAGGGAGCGAGCUUUGGGCUUGCCGCCGCCCAGCUCCUCGUCUCUCCCGGGAGAUUUCGGUCCCGGUUUCCGGGCUCGGCCGGCCGUGGGUGACGGCUCCCGGGCGGUGGCACGGUCCCGCCUGCAGCCUCCCUCCCGCAGCGGCUGGGGCAGCGGCUGGGAGGUGGAGGACGAGGGGAGGAAGCAGAGGGGCUCUGGUGACACCCCCGCCCCCAGCCCGAGCUUUCUGUCCGUGGCAAAUGUGUUUGCACAGCGCCGCGCUCCUGCUGACGUGGUCGGGUUUGCGCCCUCGGAGUGCGCGGGACUGCCAUCCCGCCUCGGAAGCUACUUUUUUUUUNNNNNNNNNNNNNNNNNNNNNNNNNNNNNNNNNNNNNNNNNNNNNNNNNNNNNNNNNNNCGCGCGGGACUGCCAUCCCGCCUCGGAAGCUAAAGAGGAUCAAACGCCUCUGCUGGCUUUAGCAGCCAUAAAACUUUACACCUCCGUCCGUCUCUGCUCUCCUUCCCAUUUGUCCCGGGGCCGAGCAAAGGCGGGAGGGGACGGGGGUGCAGAGGAGCCGCCGCCGCCGCCGUUCCCACACCGUGUUUGCCCCCCCCCCCCCCCCCCCCCCCCCCCCCCCCCCCCCCCCCCCCCCCCCCCCCCCCCCCCCCCCCCCCCCCCCCCCGGAGGGAGCCCCGCCGCACGGAGCGGCCUCUGGGGCCACCUGGGGCGGCGGCCGGGGCACUCGGUGGGUCACAGGACCUUGGCGGGAUGGGGAGGGAAGAGACCCAGCGUGGCAGACGUGGGAGGGGUGCGGUGCGCGGGAGGGAGGUGCAGACAGGGUUAGGUGGGGGUCGUUUAUCAGCCAGGCCGCUUAAGAGGAUAAUGCCACCUCACGUCCGCGCCUGGCCGCCAACCUCUCCCAAACUUCAGAAAGUAAGCGCCAAACCCGAGGUCCCCGAAAAGAGGGAAAAAGCGCCGGGGAGCGCAACCCAUGCCGCCAGCCGCACCGGGGCAGCGCGGUCCCCCCCCCCCCCCCCCCCCCCCCCCCCCCCCCCCCCCCCCCCCCCCCCCCCCCCCCCCCCCCCCCCCCCCCCCCCCCCCCCCCCCCCC